UUAUUGCAGCUGAGGCUAGUGAAUUUCUGUACUAUACAUAUAACCUGGUCAUGCAUUUUUCUUUCUUUUUUUUUUCCUAGUCUAGGAGGAUGUUUACAUGGCUCCUGUACUGGUCACAUAGAAAUCUUUCCUACUGAUUACCUCUUCUCUGUGAUUGGACAGGUGGAGGGUAGAACAACUCCUCCCAAAGCCAACUUUUCAAAAAGUAUUGUGAACUUUCCAGAGAACUCUCCAUUUUCUAUUAGCAGCUCCACUUCUACGGAGUUUCAACUCCAGGAAACAUCAUAUGCUGGGAAGGAAGAAAACAAAGGAAGAAAGGAAGGAAUAAAAGAA